rnacentral:rRNA from 1 species
GUUAUAUGGUCAAGUGAAGAAGCGCAUACGGUGGAUGCCUUGGCAGUCAGAGGCGAUGAAAGACGUGGUAGCCUGCGAAAAGCUUCGGGGAGUCGGCAAACAGACUUUGAUCCGGAGAUCUCUGAAUGGGGGAACCCACCUAGGAUAACCUAGGUAUCUUGURCUGAAUCCAUAGGUGCAAGAGGCGAACCAGGGGAACUGAAACAUCUAAGUACCCUGAGGAAAAGAAAUCAACCGAGAUUCCCUUAGUAGUGGCGAGCGAACGGGGAUUAGCCCUUAAGCUUCAUUGAUUUUAGCGGAACGCUCUGGAAAGUGCGGCCAUAGUGGGUGAUAGCCCCGUACGCGAAAGGAUCUUUGAAGUGAAAUCGAGUAGGACGGAGCACGAGAAACUUUGUCUGAACAUGGGGGGACCAUCCUCCAAGGCUAAAUACUACUGACUGACCGAUAGUGAACCAGUACCGUGAGGGAAAGGCGAAAAGAACCCCGGAGAGGGGAGUGAAAUAGAACCUGAAACCGUAUGCGUACAAGCAGUGGGAGCCUACUUGUUAGGUGACUGCGUACCUUUUGUAUAAUGGGUCAGCGACUUAUAUUCAGUGGCAAGCUUAACCGUAUAGGGUAGGCGUAGCGAAAGCGAGUCUUAAUAGGGCGUUUAGUCGCUGGGUAUAGACCCGAAACCGGGCGAUCUAUCCAUGAGCAGGUUGAAGGUUAGGUAACACUGACUGGAGGACCGAACCCACUCCCGUUGAAAAGGUAGGGGAUGACUUGUGGAUCGGAGUGAAAGGCUAAUCAAGCUCGGAGAUAGCUGGUUCUCCUCGAAAGCUAUUUAGGUAGCGCCUCAUGUAUCACUCUGGGGGGUAGAGCACUGUUUCGGCUAGGGGGUCAUCCCGACUUACCAAACCGAUGCAAACUCCGAAUACCCAGAAGUGCCGAGCAUGGGAGACACACGGCGGGUGCUAACGUCCGUCGUGAAAAGGGAAACAACCCAGACCGCCAGCUAAGGUCCCAAAGUUGUGGUUAAGUGGUAAACGAUGUGGGAAGGCUUAGACAGCUAGGAGGUUGGCUUAGAAGCAGCCAUCCUUUAAAGAAAGCGUAAUAGCUCACUAGUCGAGUCGGCCUGCGCGGAAGAUGUAACGGGGCUCAAACCACACACCGAAGCUGCGGGUGUCACGUAAGUGACGCGGUAGAGGAGCGUUCUGUAAGCCUGUGAAGGUGAGUUGAGAAGCUUGCUGGAGGUAUCAGAAGUGCGAAUGCUGACAUGAGUAACGACAAUGGGUGUGAAAAACACCCACGCCGAAAGACCAAGGGUUCCUGCGCAACGUUAAUCGACGCAGGGUUAGUCGGUUCCUAAGGCGAGGCUGAAAAGCGUAGUCGAUGGGAAACAGGUUAAUAUUCCUGUACUUCUGGUUACUGCGAUGGAGGGACGGAGAAGGCUAGGCCAGCUUGGCGUUGGUUGUCCAAGUUUAAGGUGGUAGGCUGAAAUCUUAGGUAAAUCCGGGGUUUCAAGGCCGAGAGCUGAUGACGAGUCGUCUUUUAGAUGACGAAGUGGUUGAUGCCAUGCUUCCAAGAAAAGCUUCUAAGCUUCAGGUAACCAGGAACCGUACCCCAAACCGACACAGGUGGUCGGGUAGAGAAUACCAAGGCGCUUGAGAGAACUCGGGUGAAGGAACUAGGCAAAAUGGCACCGUAACUUCGGGAGAAGGUGCGCCGGCUAGGGUGAAGGAUUUACUCCGUAAGCUCUGGCUGGUCGAAGAUACCAGGCCGCUGCGACUGUUUAUUAAAAACACAGCACUCUGCAAACACGAAAGUGGACGUAUAGGGUGUGACGCCUGCCCGGUGCCGGAAGGUUAAUUGAUGGGGUUAGCGCAAGCGAAGCUCUUGAUCGAAGCCCCGGUAAACGGCGGCCGUAACUAUAACGGUCCUAAGGUAGCGAAAUUCCUUGUCGGGUAAGUUCCGACCUGCACGAAUGGCGUAACGAUGGCGGCGCUGUCUCCACCCGAGACUCAGUGAAAUUGAAAUCGCUGUGAAGAUGCAGUGUAUCCGCGGCUAGACGGAAAGACCCCGUGAACCUUUACUGUAGCUUUGCACUGGACUUUGAGCCUGCUUGUGUAGGAUAGGUGGGAGGCUUUGAAGCGUGGACGCCAGUUCGCGUGGAGCCAUCCUUGAAAUACCACCCUGGCAUGCUUGAGGUUCUAACUCUGGUCCGUGAUCCGGAUCGAGGACAGUGUAUGGUGGGCAGUUUGACUGGGGCGGUCUCCUCCUAAAGAGUAACGGAGGAGUACGAAGGUGCGCUCAGACCGGUCGGAAAUCGGUCGCAGAGUAUAAAGGCAAAAGCGCGCUUGACUGCGAGACAGACACGUCGAGCAGGUACGAAAGUAGGUCUUAGUGAUCCGGUGGUUCUGUAUGGAAGGGCCAUCGCUCAACGGAUAAAAGGUACUCCGGGGAUAACAGGCUGAUACCGCCCAAGAGUUCAUAUCGACGGCGGUGUUUGGCACCUCGAUGUCGGCUCAUCACAUCCUGGGGCUGAAGCCGGUCCCAAGGGUAUGGCUGUUCGCCAUUUAAAGUGGUACGCGAGCUGGGUUUAGAACGUCGUGAGACAGUUCGGUCCCUAUCUGCCGUGGACGUUUGAGAUUUGAGAGGGGCUGCUCCUAGUACGAGAGGACCGGAGUGGACGAACCUCUGGUGUUCCGGUUGUCACGCCAGUGGCAUUGCCGGGUAGCUAUGUUCGGAAAAGAUAACCGCUGAAAGCAUCUAAGCGGGAAACUUGCCUCAAGAUGAGAUCUCACUGGGAACUUGAUUCCCCUGAAGGGCCGUCGAAGACUACGACGUUGAUAGGCUGGGUGUGUAAGCGUUGUGAGGCGUUGAGCUAACCAGUACUAAUUGCCCGUGAGGCUUGACCAUAUAACACCCAAACA